CAGCCGCCGCGGGAAUACGAAGGGGGCUAGCGUUGCUCGGAAUGACUGGGCGUAAAGGGCGCGUAGGCGGAUGGCACAGUCAGAUGUGAAAUUCCCGGGCUUAACCUGGGGGCUGCAUUUGAUACGUGUUGUCUAGAGUGAGGAAGAGGGUCGUGGAAUUCCCAGUGUAGAGGUGAAAUUCGUAGAUAUUGGGAAGAACACCGGUGGCGAAGGCGGCGACCUGGUCCUUUACUGACGCUGAGGCGCGAAAGCGUGAGGAGCAAACAGGAUUAGAUACCCGUGUAGUCCCUGUCUCUUAUAC
rnacentral:rRNA from 1 species